rnacentral:rRNA from 1 species
UACGGGGGGGGCAAGCGUUGUUCGGAAUUACUGGGCGUAAAGGGCUCGUAGGUGGCCAACUAAGUCAGACGUGAAAUCCCUCAGCUUAACUGGGGAACUGCGUCUGAUACUGGAUGGCUUGAGUUUGGGAGAGGGAUGCGGAAUUCCAGGUGUAGCGGUGAAAUGCGUAGAUAUCUGGAGGAACGCCGGUGGCGAAGGCGGCUCACUGGGCCGGUGCUGACGCUGAGACGCGAAGGCGUGGGGAGCGAACGGG